rfam:Anopheles gambiae str. PEST chromosome 3R, whole genome shotgun sequence.
AGUUUUUACUUGAUGACGCAUAGUUCAGUUGAUCUAACUGUGAUAACACAUGAACAACGCAUUCAAUGCGAUGAAACUGGUCUUUCGCUCCUAUCUGAUAGCAAUU